CGCGUAGGUGGUUUGGUCAGUCAGAUGUGAAAGCCCUGGGCUCAACCUGGGAACUGCAUUUGAUACUGCUGAACUAGAGUGUGGUAGAGGGAAGUGGAAUUCCGGGUGUAGCGGUGAAAUGCGUAGAGAUCCGGAGGAACAUCAGUGGCGAAGGCGGCUUCCUGGACCAACACUGACGCUGAGGUGCGAAAGCGUGGGUAGCAAACA
rnacentral:rRNA from 1 species